ensembl:misc_RNA 7SK 7SK RNA
GGAUAUGAGGGCGAUCUGGUUGCGACAUCUGUCACCCCAUUGAUCACCAGGGUUGAUUCGGCUGAUCUGGCUGGCUAGGCGGGUGUCCCCUUCCUCCCUCACCGCUCCAUGUGCAUCCCUCCCGAAGCUGCGCGCUGGGUCGAAGAGGCCGACCAUCCCCGAUAGAGGAGGACCGGUCUUUGGUCAAGGGUAUACGAGUAGCUGUGCUCCCCUGCUAGAACCUCCAAACAAGCUCUCAAGACUGUUAUUCUAACAUAUGAUCUAUGAGCAAUGUCUUUAUUAAAAUAAAAAUAUUUUUAUCUAGGAUAAUAUUGAACUAGGUU